rnacentral:rRNA from 1 species
UUGAACGCUGGCGGCAUGCCUUACACAUGCAAGUCGAGCGGCAGCGCGGGGGCAACCCUGGCGGCGAGCGGCGAACGGGUGAGUAAUACAUCGGAACGUGUCCAGUUGUGGGGGAUAACCAGUCGAAAGAUUGACUAAUACCGCAUACGAUCCACGGAUGAAAGCGGGGGACCGCAAGGCCUCGCGCUAUUGGAGCGGCCGAUGUCGGAUUAGCUAGUUGGCGGGGUAACGGCCCACCAAGGCGACGAUCCGUAGCUGGUCUGAGAGGACGACCAGCCACACUGGAACUGAGACACGGUCCAGACUCCUACGGGAGGCAGCAGUGGGGAAUUUUGGACAAUGGGCGCAAGCCUGAUCCAGCCAUGCCGCGUGAGUGAAGAAGGCCUUCGGGUUGUAAAGCUCUUUCGGCGGGGACGAAACGGUCCGUGACAACACCACGGACUAAUGACGGUACUCGCAGAAGAAGCACCGGCUAACUACGU